rnacentral:rRNA from 1 species
UACGUAGGGUGCAAGCGUUGUCCGGAAUCAUUGGGCGUAAAGCGCGUGUAGGCGGUCCGGUAAGUCCGCUGUGAAAGUCGGGGGCUCAACCCUCGGAUGCCGGUGGAUACUGUCGGGCUUGAGUACGGAAGAGGCGAGUGGAAUUCCUGGUGUAGCGGUGAAAUGCGCGGAUAUCAGGAGGAACACCAAUUGCGAAGGCAGCUCGCUGGGACGUUACUGGCGCUGAGACGCGAAAGCGUGGGGAGCAAACAGG